UACAGAGGUCCCGAGCGUUGUUCGGAUUCAUUGGGCGUAAAGGGCUCGUAGGCGGCCAACUAAGUCAGACGUGAAAUCCCUCGGCUUAACCGGGGAACUGCAUCUGAUACUGGAUGGCUUGAGUUCGGGAGAGGGAUGUGGAAUUCCAGGUGUAGCGGUGAAAUGCGUAGAUAUCUGGAGGAACACCGGUGGCGAAGGCGGCAUCCUGGACCGACACUGACGCUGAGGAGCGAAAGCCAGGGGAGCAAACGGG
rnacentral:rRNA from 1 species